GACGAACGCUGGCGGCGUGCUUAACACAUGCAAGUCGAACGGAAAGGCCCUUCGGGGUACUCGAGUGGCGAACGGGUGAGUAACACGUGGGUGAUCUGCCCUGCACUUUGGGAUAAGCCUGGGAAACUGGGUCUAAUACCGAAUAGGACCGCAUGCUUCAUGGUGUGUGGUGGAAAGCUUUUGCGGUGUGGGAUGGGCCCGCGGCCUAUCAGCUUGUUGGUGAGGUAAUGGCUUACCAAGGCGACGACGGGUAGCCGGCCUGAGAGGGUGACCGGCCACACUGGGACUGAGAUACGGCCCAGACUCCUACGGGAGGCAGCAGUGGGGAAUAUUGCACAAUGGGCGCAAGCCUGAUGCAGCGACGCCGCGUGAGGGAUGACGGCCUUCGGGUUGUAAACCUCUUUCGCCAGGGACGAAGCGCAAGUGACGGUACCUGGAGAAGAAGGACCGGCCAACUACGUGCCAGCAGCCGCGGUAAUACGUAGGGUCCGAGCGUUGUCCGGAAUUACUGGGCGUAAAGAGCUCGUAGGUGGUUUGUCGCGUUGUUCGUGAAAACUCACAGCUUAACUGUGGGCGUGCGGGCGAUACGGGCAGACUUGAGUACUGCAGGGGAGACUGGAAUUCCUGGUGUAGCGGUGGAAUGCGCAGAUAUCAGGAGGAACACCGGUGGCGAAGGCGGGUCUCUGGGCAGUAACUGACGCUGAGGAGCGAAAGCGUGGGGAGCGAACAGGAUUAGAUACCCUGGUAGUCCACGCCGUAAACGGUGGGUACUAGGUGUGGGUUUCCUUCCUUGGGAUCCGUGCCGUAGCUAACGCAUUAAGUACCCCGCCUGGGGAGUACGGCCGCAAGGCUAAAACUCAAAGAAAUUGACGGGGGCCCGCACAAGCGGCGGAGCAUGUGGAUUAAUUCGAUGCAACGCGAAGAACCUUACCUGGGUUUGACAUGCACAGGACGCCGGCAGAGAUGUCGGUUCCCUUGUGGCCUGUGUGCAGGUGGUGCAUGGCUGUCGUCAGCUCGUGUCGUGAGAUGUUGGGUUAAGUCCCGCAACGAGCGCAACCCUUGUCUCAUGUUGCCAGCACGUUAUGGUGGGGACUCGUGAGAGACUGCCGGGGUCAACUCGGAGGAAGGUGGGGAUGACGUCAAGUCAUCAUGCCCCUUAUGUCCAGGGCUUCACACAUGCUACAAUGGCCGGUACAAAGGGCUGCGAUGCCGUGAGGUGGAGCGAAUCCUUUCAAAGCCGGUCUCAGUUCGGAUCGGGGUCUGCAACUCGACCCCGUGAAGUCGGAGUCGCUAGUAAUCGCAGAUCAGCAACGCUGCGGUGAAUACGUUCCCGGGCCUUGUACACACCGCCCGUCACGUCAUGAAAGUCGGUAACACCCGAAGCCGGUGGCCUAACCCCUUGUGGG
rnacentral:rRNA from 2 species